rnacentral:rRNA from 1 species
UGGGGAAUUUUGGACAAUGGGCGAAAGCCUGAUCCAGCAAUGCCGCGUGUGUGAAGAAGGCCUUCGGGUUGUAAAGCACUUUUGUCCGGAAAGAAAUCCUUGGCUCUAAUACAGUCGGGGGAUGACGGUACCGGAAGAAUAAGCACCGGCUAACUACGUGCCAGCAGCCGCGGUAAUACGUAGGGUGCAAGCAUUAAUCGGAAUUACUGGGCGUAAAGCGUGCGCAGGCGGUUUGCUAAGACCGAUGUGAAAUCCCCGGGCUCAACCUGGGAACUGCAUUGGUGACUGGCAGGCUAGAGUAUGGCAGAGGGGGGUAGAAUUCCACGUGUAGCAGUGAAAUGCGUAGAGAUGUGGAGGAAUACCGAUGGCGAAGGCAGCCCCCUGGGCCAAUACUGACGCUCAUGCACGAAAGCGUGGGGAGCAAACAGGAUUAGAUACCCUGGUAGUCCACGCCCUAAACGAUGUCAACUAGUUGUUGGGGAUUCAUUUCCUUAGUAACGUAGCUAACGCGUGAAGUUGACCGCCUGGGGAGUACGGUCGCAAGAUUAAAACUCAAAGGAAUUGACGGGGUCAUAGCUGUUUCCU